GUUAAGAAGUUUCACAAAAUGCUGCAUGGUAGAAAAUUUACCUUAUUUACUGAUCAUAAACCCCUAUUAUCGA
rnacentral:tRNA from 11 species